rnacentral:rRNA from 1 species
GACGAACGCUGGCGGCGUGCCUAAUACAUGCAAGUAGGACGCAGUUGCGAACGGGUGAGUAACGCGUAGGUAACUACCUAUUAGAGGGGGAUAACUAUUGGAAACGAUAGCUAAUACCGCAUACUAGUAGAUGGACCUUCGUUGUAUUAGCUAGUAGGUAGGGUAAUGGCCUACCUCGGCCACGAGACAUAGCCGACCGUAGAGGGGGAUCUGCCACGCUGGGACUGAGACACGGCCCAGACUCCUACGGUAGGCAGCAGUAGGGAAGUGGCGUCAAUGGGGGGAACCCUGGCCGAGCAACGCCGCGUGAGGGAAGAAGGUUUUCGGAUCGUAAAGCUCUGUUGUUAAGGAAGCGGUACUUAACCAGAAAGGGACGGCUAACUACGUGCCAGCAGCCGCGGUAAUAC